AGAGGCCCGCUCCUCAAAGCAGGCCAGCUUUCCCAGACAGAGACAGGAACAGGACGCUGGUGGCUUCUAUCAACACGCAGAUGACACGUGAGAAAGGGUCAAAACAUACCUACGAAUUCAAGACAGAAGAUAAUGUCAAUAUGACAUUGGAACUUCAAGUUCUAUAAUGCAAUUUGAUGAUGCUAAAACUGAACUUCCUCUUACACAGAAAAUAAAAGAAUCCUUACUAAGGUUUACUGUCUUCCUCUAGACUAUAAACUCCAUGAGAGCAGAAACUUUGCCUGUCUUACCUAUCACUGAAUCCUUGGCAUCAGAACAGUGCUUCACAGAAGCUGAUCAACAGUCGUUGAGUGAAUGAAUAAAUAUUUAGAUGUCACAAAUUCAAUGAACAUCCAUCUAUAUUACACCAAUUUUCCAUAAGUACUAACCUUUUAAAAACUACAUACCUCAUAAAACACAUGAAGGCUAAGUUCAUAAAGUGAGAUAGUAGCUGAGCAAUUGCACUUGAUAAUCUUUAGUAGAGAGCCAAUGAAAACUGAAUAUGUGACAUAUAUGUGGGCUAGAGGUACAGAAGACAGAACAAUCUUUGUCUUCCUAUAAAACAGAUUGUUAGAAAGCUUCUACAAAGAAGCAGUUGAGCUCUAGUAUUAGAACUUGGAAAUUAACAGAAGCCAAAGAGGUGCAAAGAUACUUUCCCUUAGCCCCAAACUAAGUUUUUACUUUUAUAAUAAUAAUGGUAAUUUUUUACUUAAUUUAGCUGGAUGAUCAGCUCUAAACUGUUACAGAAUUAAUCUGGAAAGGAGCUCAAUCAACUUUAUGUUACCCUCUGUGUUUACUUUUCUAGUAAGAGAAACAAUUUGCUAUCCAACGCUUUUGCUAGAUGCACUUAAGAGAAAUCACCUGGAGGAAAGCAUAAGUAUGCCUGCAUUUAUGGAGUGACAAAGAUAGGCAUUUAUUAGCAUCCAUGGUGAGAAGGAAGUAGUAGCUAAGACUUCCAUCAUCAGGAAUAAUAGCUAAAAGAAAUGGGUCCAAAAAUGAGUAAAAAAUCCCCAUGUUACAUACACUCAUUAUAUCAGCAUGGCUAUCACAUAAUGUUAACCACAUCUUUAAAAAAAAAACUUACUCUAGGAUAAUAUUAAGCAGAAUCCAUAGGCUUCAUGACAGAAUGUUUUCUCAUGAUCACAUAUUUCACAGUAACCUUACCUUUCCCUCAUUUGACCAGAAGAAGGACCUUUAUUAAACUCUUCGACAUUACCAGCUAUUAAGAUUCUUCCUGAGCAUGGGAAUUUCCCAUAUCUGAAGUUAUCUUUUCUUUCUUUUUCUAUUCAGCCUGAACUUCAAAGUGGUUAGUCACUUGAAUUUACUCUACAUCUUAAUUCACUUGCCAUCCAAGCUUCUGCCACGUGGCUUGACAGUUCAAUAAUGUUCUCCUUUGUGACAGUCACUGUAUUUACUCAGUGAUAUACUUAUUGAUGGAUGAGUGAUUUUUUCCUGUCCUCAAGUGUCUUGAGUGGUGUUGAGAUGUAUAAAUGAAUAAACUGAGACUUACUAUUGAUGUUCAAAUUAUUGCUGAAUAUUAUCUGACACUGAACCAGGUUGUAAAGGUGGAGUCAGGAAAUAUUCUACCAAAAAUUAUUAAUUUAAGUAGUCAUAUUUUUUAUAGUAUUGUUAAUAUCAAUUGAUAUGUUUUGAAAGAAUACUUGAGCUAACUUCCUAGCACCAAACAGGUCAGAAUGUCAUGUUUUUCAAGAGGAAAAUUUGGUCAUCUGCUGAUUAGAAUAAUGUAAACUAGGAGAGGAGUGCUUUCUAAAUAAACAUCCAGAGAAUUAAAAAAGUCUAGGAAAACAAAGGUCCCUUUAAUGACUGUUUUUUUUUUUUUUAAAAGAUUUUAUUUUU